UGUCUUUGUGACAGCAAUUAUAUCUGCAAAAAAAUAUUCAUUGGUUCAUGUUUUAUGGUGGAGACUUUCUAAUUUAUUCAUAUUUACUGAAAAUAAGAUUUAUCCCUUGAGACUUAGCAGUACGGGUGUUCUUAGACUUGAGAAAAUAGGUCUGCAUGUCUGCAUUCUUAAGUACUCGUUACUUAUCCUUCCCAAACCUCUACGCCUUUUGUUAUAUAGGAAUAGUCUAUUAUGUUAUUUCAUUGUAAUUCAGCUGCAUUCCUUUCUGAUGAUACGAAGCAUUUAAGAUCACUAACUAUUUCUAAAUUCAUAGCAUAACAAUGAGGAUACUCCCUUGCUUUUGAUCAAAUAAAGUUUAUUGCAUUCUUCAAUGAUUUGUUGGUGUAAUUGGUUUGUUUCUCGUUUUUGCAGGUAAGGUGGG
rnacentral:misc_RNA from 1 species